rnacentral:rRNA from 1 species
CCCUUAGAUGUUCUGGGCCGCACGCGCGCUACACUGAUACGUUCAGCGAGUAUAUAACCUUGAUUGGAAAAUCUGGGUAAUCUUUUGAAUGCGUAUCGUGCUAGGGAUAGAUUAUUGCAAUUAUUAAUCUUGAACGAGGAAUUCCUAGUAAACGCAAGUCAUCAGCUUGCAUUGAUUACGUCCCUGCCCUUUGUACACACCGCCUGUCGCACAAACCGAUUGAAUGAUUCGGUGAAAAUUUUGGACAUCGAGAGUGGUGAUUAAUUUCGCUGCUCUUAAAUGGAAAGAAUUUAAACCUAAUAAUUUAGAGGAUUGUGAAGUCAUAACA